UGUUGGUUGCAAAUGAUGGAUAAAAGUUGUUUUCUCUGACACAAUGUGAUGUUUUAACAAUUUUCGUCACUACCACUGAUGCAACUACACA